GCCUUUUGGGGAGGGCGGGGGGGGCUGGUGCCAGCCGUCUGUCUGUGCUGUCCCUGUCCGUGUGUCCGUGGGGGGGGGCGAGCUGGCCAGGCUGUGCAGGGCAGCCCCUGAUUCGGGGGGGGUCUGCGUGUGGGGGCUGCACUGUGCCCGUGCAGCUCGUGCACACACGUGUGUGUGGUUGGGGUGUGCACAGGCAGGCACACGGCAGGGACACGUGUGCACAAACAUAUGUGCAGAUGUGCUGCUGGUCAUUGCUGGGGACGUGUGUGUGCGUGCGAGGCGUGCACAUGGUGUGCCCUGUGUGCUGCAGGAGUGCACGUGUGUGUGUGUGCACGGUGUGCUGCAGGAGUGCACACGUGUGUGUGUGUGCACAGUGUGCCCUGUGUGCUGCAGGAAUUCACACGUGUGUGUGCACAGCGUGUCCCAUGAGCUGCAGGCAUGUACGUGUGAGUGCACGCUGUGCCCCGUGUGCUGCAGGAACGCACACACGUGUGUGCAAGGUGUGCCGUGUGUGCUGCAGGAACGCGCACACGUGUGUGCAAGGUGUGCCGUGUGUGCUGCAGGAAUGCACACGUGUGUGUGCACGGUGUGCCCCGUGUGCUGCAGGAACGCGCACACGUGUGUGCAAGGUGUGCCGUGUGUGCUGCAGGAGUGCACACGUGUGUGCACGGUGCAUCCCAUGAACUGCAGGACUGCACGUGUGUGUGUGCACGGUGUGCCCCGUGUGCUGCAGGAACGCACACGUGUGUGUGCAAGGUAUGUCCUGUGUGCUGCAGGAAUGCACACGUCUGUGCACGCAGCACCCCGUGUGCUGCAGGAACGCACACGUGUGUGUGCACGGUGUGCCCUGUGUGCUGCAGGAAUGCACACGUCUGUGCACGCAGCACCCCGUGUGCUGCAGGAACGCACGCGCACCCCCUUCGGCUGUGCGGCGGGAGCACGAACACGCGUGUCCACCUUCAGGCGUGCACACACACACACGCACACACACGCGUGCAGGGGGCCGGGGGUCAGGCCGAGGUGAGCCCUUCCCGGCGGGUUCAGGCGCAGUUCAGCCGCAUGCCAUUAGGCAAAUCAGCCCCGGCAGCCCCCGGCCCAGCCCCGCAGCCGCACGGCCCCCCCCGCCCCC
rnacentral:lncRNA from 1 species